rnacentral:rRNA from 1 species
UACGAAGGGGGCUAGCGUUGCUCGGAAUCACUGGGCGUAAAGGGUGCGUAGGCGGGUCUUUAAGUCAGGGGUGAAAUCCUGGAGCUCAACUCCAGAACUGCCUUUGAUACUGAGGAUCUUGAGUUCGGGAGAGGUGAGUGGAACUGCGAGUGUAGAGGUGAAAUUCGUAGAUAUUCGCAAGAACACCAUGUGGCGAAAGCGG